rnacentral:rRNA from 1 species
UACGUAGGGUGCAAGCGUUGUCCGGAAUUAUUGGGCGUAAAGAGCUCGUAGGCGGUCUGUCGCGUCUGCUGUGAAAAUCCAGGGCUCAACCCUGGACCUGCAGUGGGUACGGGCAGACUAGAGUGCGGUAGGGGAGAUCGGAAUUCCUGGUGCAGCGGUGAAAUGCGCAGAUAUCAGGAGGAACACCGGUGGCGAAGGCGGAUCUCUGGGCCAUUACUGACGCUGAGGAGCGAAAGCGUGGGGAGCGAACAGG